rnacentral:misc_RNA from 1 species
AACGCACAUUGCGCCUCCUGUUACAGGGAGGCAUGCCUGUCUGAGCGUCAUUUAUAUCCAAUAGAGCCUGCAUGGCUCUGUCCUGGGCCCCGCCGUUCGGCGCCGCCUUGAAACCAUCGGUCUAACGAGCGGACGAGCCCCCUUCGGACGCAACCGUUCGGCGACCUUAAACACCUCUCUGACCUGUGACCUCAGAUCAGGUAGGGCUACCGCCUGAACUUAA